CUUGCACCAGUGGGGUCCCUCGGCCUGGCCUGCGUCCUCUCACAAUCUUGGACCCCUCCAGGGAUGUCUGAGGGCCAGUUUUGGCCCAAUCUCGCAGGCCAGGCUGAGGGACCCCACUGGUGCACA
rfam:Myotis brandtii contig264811, whole genome shotgun sequence.